rnacentral:rRNA from 1 species
UACGAAGGGGGCUAGCGUUGCUCGGAAUCACUGGGCGUAAAGGGUGCGUAGGCGGGUCUUUAAGUCAGGGGUGAAAUCCUGGAGCUCAACUCCAGAACUGCCUUUGAUACUGAGGAUCUUGAGUUCGGGAGAGGUGAGUGGAACUGCGAGUGUAGAGGUGAAAUUCGUAGAUAUUCGCAAGAACACCAGUGGCGAAGGCGGCUCACUGGCCCGAUACUGACGCUGAGGCGCGAAAGCGUGGGGAGCAA